rnacentral:rRNA from 1 species
AGCGGUGAAAUGCGUAGAGAUCUGGGAGGAAUACCGGUGGCGAAGGCGGCCCCCUGGACAAAGACUGACGCUCAGGUGCGAAAGCGUGGGGAGCAAAACAGGAUUAGAUACCCUGGUAGUCCACGCCGUAAACGAUGUCGAUUUGGAGGUUGUGCCCUUGAGGCGUGGCUUCCGGAGCUAACGCGUUAAAUCGACCGCCUGGGGAGUACGGCCGCAAGGUUAAAACUCAAAUGAAUUGACGGGGGCCCGCACAAGCGGUGGAGCAUGUGGUUUAAUUCGAUGCAACGCGAAGAACCUUACCUGGUCUUGACAUCCACAGAACUUACCAGAGAUGGAUUGGUGCCUUCGGGAACUGUGAGACAGGUGCUGCAUGGCUGUCGUCAGCUCGUGUUGUGAAAUGUUGGGUUAAGUCCCGCAACGAGCGCAACCCUUAUCCUUUGUUGCCAGCGGUUCGGCCGGGAACUCAAAGGAGACUGCCAGUGAUAAACUGGAGGAAGGUGGGGAUGACGUCAAGUCAUCAUGGCCCUUACGACCAGGGCUACACACGUGCUACAAUGGCAUAUACAAAGAGAAGCGACCUCGCGAGAGCAAGCGGACCUCAUAAAGUAUGUCGUAGUCCGGAUUGGAGUCUGCAACUCGACUCCAUGAAGUCGGAAUCGCUAGUAAUCGUAGAUCAGAAUGCUACGGUGAAUACGUUCCCGGGCCUUGUACACACCGCCCGUCACACCAUGGGAGUGGGUUGCAAAAGAAGUAGGUAGCUUAACCUUCGGGAGGGC